GACGGACGCUGGCGGCGUGCUUAACACAUGCAAGUCGAACGGAAAGGCCCUGCUUGCAGGGUACUCGAGUGGCGAACGGGUGAGUAACACGUGGGUGAUCUGCCCUGCACUUCGGGAUAAGCUUGGGAAACUGGGUCUAAUACCGGAUAGGAGCCAUCUUUAGUGUGGUGGUUGGAAAGUUUUUUCGGUGUAGGAUGAGCUCGCGGCCUAUCAGCUUAUUGGUGGGGUAAUGGCCUACCAAGGCGGCGACGGGUAGCCGGCCUGAGAGGGUGUACGGCCACAUUGGGACUGAGAUACGGCCCAGACUCCUACGGGAGGCAGCAGUGGGGAAUAUUGCACAAUGGGCGCAAGCCUGAUGCAGCGACGCCGCGUGGGGGAUGAAGGCCUUCGGGUUGUAAACUCCUUUCGCUAGGGACGAAGCUUUUUUGUGACGGUACCUAGAUAAGAAGCACCGGCUAACUACGUG
rnacentral:rRNA from 1 species